AUACGGCGGGGCACAGGGCUGCCCGGUUCGGCCCGCGACAGCGGUUCCGCGGCGCGGAAGGGACAAGGGCCGUGCGGAAUGCUGAGGAGGGUGCAAGCCCAGUAAAGGCCACAUCAGACAGCGUGAGGGGCAGCUCGCCCUGACGAGAGAGGAAGUACGGAGCAGUCUGGAAGCGGCGCGGCCCGCCGUCCGUUAUGCCUUAAACUUAUGAGUAAGGAAAAUAACGACCCGGGGUGACGCCCGGGUCCUCACUCCGAAUGUGAGAGGAAUUUUUGCGCGGGUACAGGUCGCCCCUGGGUGCCCCGCUUACUUCGCGGGAUGCCCGGGUGCCGUGAUCUGCCCGACCCUCGUGCGCCCGGUGCCAAGAACAGAACUGCACUGCCCGGCGUGCCCCGCGCGUUGUCCGUGCGCAGGCGGGGCAGCGCCCCAGCCCGCGCUGGGCAAUCGCGCACCGGAAAUCCCGGCGCUCUGAACAUCAGAAAUGCCUCAGGCUGUGAUUCUCUUUGUGCUCCGUUCGCUGACGUGCCCUAAGGGUCUUCAGGACGCUUCGAAUUAAAUCACCCAAACUUGCCUCACAAACAUUUCAUGUGUCUGCAUUAAACAAUUCCUUCUUUAUUUUUCUGAGGGAGCAAUUACACCGUUUAAAAUCAAGCUAUGAGGGGAAAGGAAAUGGUGCCUCGGGCAGCGCUGAGCUCCUAGGGUCCUGCCCUGUCAUUACCUUCACGACUGUGGCUCUGGAUCUCACUGAGGGUCGUGGUGCUGUUGGGCGUCCCUCAAAACACCCUAUUGCAGCACAUCACAGCCACAGCUUCUCCAAAAUGCAGAUUUGCUCCCGCCCGAACCAGUGGGACUUCAACAGUGUGGGAGGUGCCGGGAGGGUUGGGGACAAGCGCGGAGGAUUUUUCUGCAGCUGCGGCGGGUGCUCACAGCCACGCACACUCAGGCUCCCGCAGCACUCAUUUUUUCUCAGGAAGCCUUAGUGAGCCAAAAGUCCUACCAGGGAUGAUGCCAGGUCCCUGCUUGGUUGUGCACUGGUGCUUGAUCCAGCUCCAGGGGGCUGCAGUACUGUAAAUGAAGGUACACAAAAUACAGCCAUUUUUGCACUGCCUUUCUGCAGCUGUUGAGGUACUUGAUCAAACUGAGGCGACAGGGUGGGUAAUGUGUGACAUUUGUUUUGCUGUUGCAAAACCAACAGGUAAUACCUGUUUGAGCAAAUUCAUUUCACUUUGAAAACAGCCCAAGUGGUUCCGUUUCCCGAUCUGACACCAGUUUCCUGUUAAAAUAUUACUUAGGAAAUUAUGCAAAGGACAUCAGGACAUCAUACCCUUAGGAUGGUAUGUGGUACAGCAUCUGAUUUAAAAUAUUGCCUUACCCUCAAACAUCAAGAACUGUGAAAAUAAGUUGUAUUGGAUCACGGGCUGGAUGUUGUUCUUUGCACCAGGAGACGUAAAACUCUGGCAAUAGGAAAUUUCAUGCACAGAGAUAUUUCCAAUAAAGGUUUUUUACAGUCAGUUUCUCAGAAUACUCUGGUUUUCUAAAAGCCAGUUUUCUUGCACACACCUGGAUCCCAGCUGAUGUUCUCAGUGACCUGCAAUAUUCUUAGGGAAUACUGAAUUUCUGAGAGAAGCAGAAAAUUUGUUUGCGGAGAGCCACACAGAAAUUUGCCUUUCUUUCUGGGGGCCCAUCGAGAAAAUCCCAGGGAGUUUGUGCAGCCAAGGAAACUGAUGGACUAAAAAGAAACACUGCAGAAAAGGACUUGGAAGGCACAGCAGAAUUUGAAGUCUUUUUUAUUUGGUAAUUCUCAAGUGGCUCAUAGAAUACUGUGUCACACAAAAUCACAUGCAUUUGCCUGAUUGCAUCCCCCUUAUGCCAUGGAAUACAACUUUUAGAGCUCUUUGGUCCAGAGCUGUGGCAUGUGUGUAGCUGAAGGACUUUGGGAGAGGUAAAUUGUACAGACGUGGGAGAGCAGCAGAGUGUUAUCAGGCAGGUGGCUUUUGUAAGGAGACAACUGGAAUAGCUUCAAUUUUUAAUACAGGUUUGUUAAUGAUGUUUUAUCCUGGGUGUCCAAAGUGGGAGAUGUCUAAUUUACCAGCUCUGAAAAGUAGGCAAUUCAUGGGAGAAAGAAAAGCAGAAUAUGGCAUAGCAGCUGUUUCAUCUUCUGAGGGUUAAGUAAUUAGCCCGACUCUCAAGUCAUUCUCCUUUGAUCCCAGACUAAACCUUUCACAAUAAUUUCUUCCCCGUGUUUCAUUAUGGGCCACAGAAGGGGUGUUUUCCAGUGCGCUACAUCUUUCUUGUCCACGUGCUCUAAAUACCUUCUGUUCAUCUUCCACUCAGCUUUAACUGGUGGUCCUGAAGAAGCAGCAAACAAUAAAUUUGGCAGCACUGCAGCAGUGUUUCAUUUUCAGUUCCUAUGUGAAUGGCAGCUUCCUGGAAAUCAAAUGAGAACAGUUUUCAAAGCUUUGUAAUGUUAUAUUGAUGAAUUAUGUUGCCUCCCUGCUCUCAUUCUGUGCAGCUGCUCCACAGGAACUAAGCACUCAAGAACUUGACAAAGCUGCUGGUACUGUUUAAGUGGGACAGGCAGGGGUCCCAAGGUCACUUUAAAGGUUCUUUUAUUUACUAAGUCCUGACUUCUGGAUUGUGCCAGCAUCCAGCACCUGUCUCUGUUUUCUCAUAGAGAGAUCUGCUAUUUUGAGUUUCAGUCCAGUCCCAUGUGUUCACCCCUCUCAGCUCCCAGAGCUGCACACCUCUGCACUGCAGUGGCCAUGGCCAGGCAGUCAGUUUUCAUCAUUGCUUAGAUUUUGGCACAUCCUACAGUGGGUACUGUUUUUCUCUUGCUUCAGGUACAGACCAAAUCCACCAGGUUUACUGGGGAAAGAGUACGGGUUCAAAAUCCCAAAGACACCUUACAAGCAUCUUGUUCAACCAGAAGCAGGAGUUCAAAUAUUUUGGCUAUGAUGCUGUGAUGAAGUACAAGAGCCUGCCCUCCAGCCAAACUGACAGCUGGUACUUCUUCCAGAACUUCAAGAUGCAGCUGUACAAAAUGGUAGGUGGAAGAGUUACUGCUAAUGGGGGUCAGGGCCAGUCCCAGGGAAAGCCUCAGGUCCUCUCUUUGGUGGAUGGGAAGCCUCUUCGAAGGUUUUCCUCCCCAGGACAGCUGGGAAUGAUGUGGUCUGUCACAAUAUCACCUGGAGCAGUUGGUCUCUUCCAGAAACUGGUGGAAAUUGGGGAAUCAGUGAAUAUACAUUAUGUUGCCCACUAUGAUUUCUUUCCAAUAGAACCAGAUCAAAGGUAGUCUUUGCUUUCUUUUGUGCAAAAACCAGAAUGCUUGGUAUGCAGAUGAGGAAGGGAUGGAACAGCUUGGAUUCUGUGUAGUGCCAUCACCAGACAGAAGGCUAAGGAGACAUUUCAGGCUGAAGGUGGAGAUUAAAUUUGGGCUGACUAAAUUUAAAGCCACAUGUACUGAUGUUACAUGAAGUCAGACAGUUGUAAUGGAUUUUUUAUCUUAUAAAUAACUUGUCACAUUGAAUAGAUCUUAGAUGUCUUAGAUGUCUCUUCCAACCAUUAUGAUUCUAACAAUUAUAUGACUUCUACAAUAGAGGAGACAAUUGGACCAGUAAGUCCAUCAUGCAACUUUCUAUUUACACAGGAAGACUACUAGUCUGAUUCUCUGGUUCUUUCCAUUCCUCACCAACCACCCUUUCAGUCCAACACCUCAUUUUCUCUUGUAUCUGACAGCAGUAUGUCUGCUGCUUAAUCUCAUGCCCUUCUAGCUUGCAUCUCUGAACAUAAUAGUCCAUACUAUCCAUAUAAUCAUCUGUGACCUACCUGUGUUUAAUGCAAAGUCUCUGGACUGGUGUCUUAACUUCCACAUAAAGCAGUUUAUUUUAGCCUGGUGUCUUCUUGCAGCUACAUCUUCUCUUUCUCUGACAUCAGGUCACUUUAUCUGGAGUUCAGGUUUAAUUCUGCUGGGGGUGACAUUCAGCAGAUUUCUGUUUUCUUCAGAAUGUCAUUUAUAUAAACGCUGCGUAAUUAGAGCUCCAGUGUCCCAGACAAGGGAGCUGAGUGAACCAGUCUAGGAGCUUGUGUCCAAAACCUACGGGAGUGUUGUUUCCAUCAAAUGAUUGGGUGGUUGAUCUCAUUAGUGGGGCAGAUAUGAAUGCCAGAUUGUAACAUUACAGAUAUGAGUAGUGCAUAUGCUGCUGCCAGAUGCCUCUGUCCAGCUCCAGGUACUCUGCAUCUCUGACUUGGGCAUGAUAUUUUCCAUAUCUCUAAAAGCUGAUUUCUUUCCUCUUGCCUGCAGCACCUGUGCAAAGGUUCAGCACUGUUAAGGCUUUGGGGGCCUAAAUUUGUCCAAGAAAAGUAUGCAGUCCUGCAGUGUGCUGGGUCUGGCAGAGGUGAAGUUAACUUUCUUCAUAGUGACCCUUAUGUUGGUGGGUGGUUUGGGUCCAGAAUGAUGCUGAUAGCACACUGAUGGCUCAGGGUGUGAAGGCUGAGCUGGGGCUUGUGGAGUUGGCUUUCUUCCCCUUCACUAAGCAUAUACAAUUUCUGAACACCAGCCUCCACCAAUGCAAAAUCUUGGUUAGCUGGAUACAGUGCAAGAAAACCCAGAACUUAUUAGUUGAAUGAUUGCGUUGAGUCACUGCUGGCCAUGCACUGAAUGUUGUUAAUCAUAAGAGCAGCAUUCAGAGGACUAAUCUGCAUAUAUGCUAUGCCCUAUGAUAUAUAAAAGCAGAAGGAUUUUGAAAUUACUACCUUUGCUUUCUCAUUAAAAAUGGUAUGCAUGCAAUAAAAAUACUCACAACAGACACCUGUGUGCAUUUCUACCAUGUCAGGUGGUACCACUCUGUACACUUUGGAAGGGCCAUUCUGGGGGCUAGGUCCUAAGAAGCAGAACAGUCCUGCUUUUUUCUUACCCUUUACAUUUGGUGUUUUCAGCAGUGGAAAGCCCAACACGGCUCCACCCAAGCCCACCAAUGCCUUGGAAUGGGAGAGAGAAGUAGAGUCUGGGAAAGUGGCAGCAGGGAAAGCCUUUCCCACCCAUGUGCUAGGUGGGCUUUGGGAUUCAGACAUUGACACUGACAGUGGUGACUGCAGCUCCUAGUUUUGCUUGUUUCCAUGAGCUGAUUAUGUUGAUAACCUCAGACAAUGAGCACGAGCAGAUGCAGAUGUUUGUCCUUCCUGUAAAAGCAGCACUGACUGAGUGUCAGGGUCUCAGGCUAGGCAUUCCUGAAACCUGGCAAUAUGGGAGGCUCUACCCUCAGCCUGACACUAGCAUGGUUGUUGGGAAGAUAAGAGUUACUAGCUGCUGAGUCCUUGGCAGCCAUCCUCUGAAAGAGGUGUGUCUGUUGAACUGGGGACUGACCCUGUUGAACAAUAAAUAGGGUGGGUUGUUUAUGCUAAAAAUCACAGAUCCUCAAAUUUCAAGGAUAAGAAAAGACAGUGAGGUUUGCAGUGCCUGUAACCAGGACAUCAAUGAGCUCUUAGAGGUGUGAUGGCUACUGGAUCCUACAUGGCUGGGUGAUUAGAAGGUGCCACCCAUUUCUGUGGCUGGAUCUUGCCAGCUGCCUUCUGCCUAAAGCACGUGAUUUCUUGGAAACUGAGACAAAGCAACUUCCACUUUGCAGUACUGACACCAUUUCCCGGCAGUGAAGUGAGAGGCACAUCUUCUUCUCCCCUGGCUGGGGAUAGAGAGAGGAACAGCUUGGCCACAGCCUGAACACCAUGGUUGUGCUUUCUGCUCCACAUUUCCCCAGUGCCAUCUGGCUCCCUGGCCUAACCCUGCCUACUUGAUGUCAGAGGAAACUAAAGAUUCACAAAACUGCUUGAUAUCAGAGGAAACUAAAGACUCACAAAAAGUUCACAGUAACUAUAAGUUACCCUUGGAACCAUGACAGUGGUGUGCUGGAGCAAUGGAACUGUGAAGAGAUCGCAGGAACAGAGUGUUAUAAAUCCUUAUGUCCUUGACAAGUAAUGGUUCAAAUAGAUUCAAGCAGAUUCAAACUGCAACAGAGAUUUAACAAAAUAAGGUUUAACAAUAACUUAGCAAUAGAUGACAGGAUGUAAAGACAACUUCAAGUUACCUUAGAUGAUUAUAAUUUUAAAGAACACAUCCCCAGGGAAAUUUGUAUGUGGAAAUGAUAGGAUAUGAACUGGACUGAGAUCAGCAAAUGCAUAUUAAAAUUUUUGUUACACAAGCAUGAGUGACCAAUCUCCUGUUUCUGUAUGAUUCUUUUUUGUAAAAGGACUCUGACUGCUCUCUGAGUUGGAAAAGGCCUUGCACCCUAUUCUUCAGAUUUGUAAUAAAACUAUGUCUCAACUCAGUGUAUUGAUUGGCUCUUGCACACCAGGAUUCUCUUCUUUAGGGAUAACAUCCUGAGGAGCUUCACCCCAUAUUAGAAAAUAAUGUCUCUUCAUGCAACAGAAAUUAAGAUUGAGAGCAUUCACUUCCUUUGACAUAAUAAAACAAACCAUGGGAGAGGAAAAAUAAAUAAACCAAGCACUCAUCCUCUUGCUCACAUAUAGGGAGGUGUCAGCAAUGACUUCACAUUUAAACAGCACAUUUUUCAUAGCUCUUCCAUUUCCAGACCAAAAUAAGUAGGUUUCUGGAGCUUUUUUGCUUCAGUUGCUAGAGAUUACUGAGAUGUACCAUAGAUGUGUAUAGACCUGUUAGAGAUGUCAAAACUUCAUAAGGGAUUAUUGUGUUCAUCUUGCAAGGACUUGGCAAAUCAUGCAAGGGGAAAAUAGAAGAUAAUUUUCCAGAACAGUAAAAGUAACACCAUAGGAUGGAAGAAGAGAAAAGCAGAGAGAGAGCAUGGUGAUGUGCUUGAGGGAAGAUGUCAUUGCUUUCUCUGGUCAGGGAUUGCCUUGGGCUGCUGACACCUGGCUUGGUCCCAGACAAAACUGACCAAUUGUGCCCCAGAACAGGACAACCAAGUAAGAUUAGGGUGCCUCCAUGGAAACGUGUUUAAGAAAGGGCAGGGAACACUGAAAAGGGAGAUACAAGUCCAGGGCAGGUACAGUAUCCAAUGGGAUGAUGACUAGUGGAGGAGCCCAUGUUGGAGCAGUUGAGUAGGACACAAGGAGGAGCAAGAGCAAGGGACCCCACACACCAACCCCAGCUUCUGCACCACCCAUGGUCUCACCAAAGGGUCUGGUUGUAACCUGCAGCAUGGGGUGGGGAAACAGGACAGGGGGAGGUGAGGCAUCUAAGUAUUGGUUGGUUGGUUUGUUACUUGGAAAUGAAUUAAUUGGAUUGAAAUUUCUCAACUCAAAAUAGGUAUUUUUUGGCCCA